rnacentral:lncRNA from 1 species
AGAUCUGUUUGGAGACUUAAGUUAGUUCACUUCAGAACUAAACUUCAAGAGCCAUGGAGGCCAGCGGGAGGUUUUCCAUUGACUUCAGUGAACUGUGGAUCAGGUCUGAGGAGAUAAAUCCAGCUCUUUCAGAAGCCGGGAAAGUCGCAAGAAUCUGUGAGUCACUCCUGAAGCACCAGGAAAUGCUGAAGGUGGGGCUGUGACAUGUAUUGUGGUCAACAGAUGGAGAGAUGAGUGGGGAGAGGAUGACAGGUUUCGCUGGAGUAUUUGGCAAUCUAGCUCUAACUGAG